UUAAGACUUGCAGUGAUGUUUAAUUCCUCUCCACGUGAACAUCACAGCAAGUCUGUGCU
ensembl:miRNA